AUGUCCCUACGGGGGGCAGCAGUAGGGAAUUUUCGUCAAUGGGCGCAAGCCUGAACGAGCAAUGCCGCGUGAACGAGGAAGGUCUUCGGAUCGUAAAGUUCUGUUGAAGGGGAAAAAGAGCGGAGAGAGGAAAUGCUUUCUGAUUGAUAUUACCCUUCGAGGAAGUCACGGCUAACUACGUGCCAGCAGCCGCGGUAAUACGUGGGUGGCGAGCGUUAUCCGGAAUGAUUGGGCGUAAAGGGGGCGUAGGCGGCCUGCUA
rnacentral:rRNA from 1 species